rnacentral:rRNA from 1 species
CAGUCGCCACGGUAAUACGUAGGUGGCAAGCGUUGUCCGGAAUUAUUGGGCGUAAAGCGCGCGCAGGUGGUUUAAUAAGUCUGAUGUGAAAGCCCACGGCUCAACCGUGGAGGGUCAUUGGAAACUGUUAAACUUGAGUGCAGGAGAGAAAAGUGGAAUUCCUAGUGUAGCGGUGAAAUGCGUAGAGAUUAGGAGGAACACCAGUGGCGAAGGCGGCUCUUUGGCCUGUAACUGACACUGAGGCGCGAAAGCGUGGGGAGCAAACAGGACUAGAUACCCGAGUAGUCCCUGUCUCUUAUAC